rnacentral:sRNA from 1 species
AAUUUUUCCAUUCUUGACAUCUAUGACUGCUCCAGCUGAUGCUAAGAAUGGUCUCCCUAGGAUCAGGGGAUCCUUGCCUUCUUCAUCUACGUCCAAUACCAUAAAAUCUGUAGGUAUCUCAACAUUU